CUGACGGCGCCAGUGCGUAAGCGCGACUGGCCGGCAGCCACCAGCCUCGGCGGGGGUAGGGGGAUGGUCGCGCUGGCAAACACCUCCCGGCGUUGAGAACUGUGUUUAAGUUAACGGCGGCGGAUGAGCUUGACUAACUCCCGACUGCCCACACCCGAGGAUUUCGUAAGGGCAUGUGAAAUGGGCAUCAAGUUAUCAGCAGAUGUCAAACCGUUUGUUCCCAAACUUUCCGGGCUAAACAUGGCGUGGUCAGAGUCCUCAGAAGCAUGUGUCUUUCCCAGCUGCGCAGCCUCCUACUAUCCAUUUGUUCAGGAACUGCCAGUGACUGAGCAGAAAAUAUAUACGGAAGAUAUGACCUUUGGAGCUUCAGCUUUUCCACCUCAGUAUUUAUCUUCUGACAUAACUGUUCAUCCAUACGCCUAUUCUCCUUACACCUUUGAGUCUACACAAAAUGUUUGUUCAGUGCCUGGCUCCCAGUAUGAGUACAGCCAACCUGGUUGUUACCAAGAUUUCCAAACAGUUAUAGCCCGAAGUGAGCACACGUGCCGUCUCCCUCAAGAGGCUAAAGGUCUGCUUAAGAAAAAAACAUACCAUGAGCCAAAGUUUGAUCAAAAAAGGGCUGAUGGAACUAUAUCAUCUGAUACAAAAUCAGCUAAAGGUUCCCAUCAUCUAUCCAUUCCUGCAGAAAAUAGCUUGAAAUCAGAUGUCUGUCAUAAACGCACAGACAGGAAAUCCAGAGUCACUGAAAGUGGAUCUACCUCCAAACCUGAGUUUGAAUUUAGCAGGUUGGACUUUCCUGAACUGCAGAGUCCAGAGAGCAGUGGUAUAUUAGAGAUACCAAAGCAACCCAAAUGGGGCCCUUUGCGCUCCAGUACGCCCAGCAUUUCUCUCCUGAGAGAAAUCAAAGCACCCGCAGUGUUAUCAGAGGGUGAAAUAGUGGUCAAAAAUAAAAAUCCCACUGAGUCUGUGGCUGAUAGUGCUCCCAGCAGUUGUUCUUCAUGUACAAGAGAGUUAUCUUGGACACCGAUGGGUUAUGUUGUUCGGCAGUCAUUGUCUACAGAACAGUCACGAGCCCCUAAAAAUGUUACCUCCAUGAUAAACCUAAAGACAGUUGCUUCGUCAGCAAAUCCUAAAACUGUUAAAGUAGUAUCUUCUGAAGUUUCGUCUUCUGACCCUUCCUGCAGCAAAGAGAAACAUAUUCUUCAUCCUUCUAAAAAGUCCAAAGCAAUACAAGGUGGCAACCCUGAGCAAAAUGAAGUCUUGAGAAAGAAUAAGAAAAAGAAAGAAAAGUCUAAAUCAGAAUACGAAGUCCUGACAGUUCAAGAGCCACCAAGGAUUGAAGAUGCUGAGGAGUUUCCCAAUCUGGCGGUUGCAUCUGAAAGAAGACACAGAGUAGAGUCAACAAAAUUUCAAUCUAAACAGCAGCCACAGAAUAACUUUAAAAAAAGUCGAAAGAAGAGUGAAAUUCCAGUUCAGCUGGAUUUGGGCGGGAUGCUCACGGCACUGGAGAAAAAGCAGCACUCUCAGAAUGCAAAGCAGUCCUCCAAACCUGUGGUGGUCUCAGUGGGUGCAGUGCCAGUCCUUUCCAAAGAAACAACGUCGGGGAUGAAGAACCACCACUUGAACCAGGUGCAGACCCCUCACAACCCCUUAGACUCCAGUGCCCCGCUGAGGAAGAAAGGGAAGCAGAGAGAGGUUCCCAAGGCCAAGAAGCCAACCUCCCUGAAGAAGAUUAUUUUGAAGGAACGGCAGGAGAGAAAGCAGCAGCGUCUCCAGGAAAAUGUUUCAGAGGACGCUGUACAGGACAUGGAGAGCAGUGGAGGCGACCAGUCCCUUCAGCAGGCUGACCCCUCAGGGGAAACAGAAGAAUCGGUCUCCUCCACCCUUGUAGAGGAAAGCGGGUCAGAAGAGCCGCUCAGAGCUGAGCCCCAGAGUAACACAGAAGCCUGCCAUCUCGGUCUCCACUCCGCCAGCUUCCCAAAGAUCCACAGCCGGAGGUUCAGGGAUUACUGCAGCCAGAUGCUUAGUAAAGAAGUCGAUGCUUGUGUUACGGAUCUUCUAAAAGAGUUGGUACGUUUCCAAGACCGCAUGUACCAGAAAGAUCCAGUCAAGGCCAAGACCAAACGCCGACUCGUGUUGGGACUGAGAGAGGUUCUCAAACACCUGAAGCUCAAAAAGUUGAAAUGUGUCAUCAUUUCUCCCAACUGUGAGAAGAUACAGUCCAAAGGGGGACUGGAUGACACUUUGCAUACCAUUAUUGAUUACGCCUGCGAGCAGAACAUUCCGUUCGUGUUUGCCCUCAACCGCAAAGCUCUGGGGCGCAGUCUGAACAAACCCGUUCCUGUCAGUGUGGUGGGGAUAUUCAGCUACGACGGAGCCCAGGACCAGUUCCACAAGAUGGUCGAGCUGACGAUGGCAGCCCGGCAGGAGUACAAGACCAUGCUGGAAAGUGUGCGUCAAGAGCUGGCCGAAGAGCCCAGGGCUGGCAGCCCACCCAGCCCGCCCACGCAGGGCCCAGGCUGCUCUGCAGAGGUUCCACGCCCAGCCCCGACAGAGAAAGAAGAGCCACGUUACAUUGAAAUCUGGAGAAAACAUCUGGAAGCAUAUAACCGAUGUGCCCAGGAACUGGAAGAAACUUUAGGGGCUUCAGUCUCUCAAAUGAUGAACUUGAAAUUAUAAGGAGAGAGCUCUUUAUGUGUGUUUUGUGUAUUUGGGGUAGGGGGAAGGGAGUUGAACAAGACUGUGUCUUGUUCCUCUCAGUUCUUCACUGACCCACUGUAUUGUGUUGGACUGUUCAGCAUGGAAACCAGCCAGCGUGGAAGGGUGUGUUUGUAGACCCUCAGCUCGCUGGGCACCAGGCUGUGAGUCCCGUCAGAGGGUCAGUGGCCCCCAGAUUCCUUGGCUGACACCUUUUCUGAAAGCACACUGUGGAUUUGGAAGAUACUGGAAAACAUGGUACUUAGAGUACUUUGGCUGCUAAGGACACGUCUCUCCCGUGCAGAGUAACUAAACCAAGCCAGUUAGCUAGUUUGCAGGAGGCCAGGCAUCGUGUUUACCGAGUGCCAGGUGGGUCAGGACAACUAAGGGGCAGGGGUUCGAGGGAGGUGCCAUCCCGACCCUAACUUUCCACCUCCCGGGAAAGGAUGACCACUCUGCAGGAAAGCAGCGUCAAGGCAGCUUUUAGUGAUGCUCACGUUGGAGCAGAAAGGAGUACAGUGAAAGGUUUGUUCCUCAGGGGAUGUAUGUUUUCAGAUUUAAAGAUAGACACUUGGAGAAUUCGCUAAAACGAGCCUCAGAAGGAAAAAAUGUUUUCUAACCUGUUACUUUUUGUACAUGAAUUAUUCUGUUUAGUCUUUAUUUUCAAAGAAACAAUGCAUAUUGAUGUUCUAAUUUCAGUUUUGAUAAUCUGAAACCCUUCUUUCCUUUUUUAAGUGAACAUUCUGAAUGUGGUUUCUAUCUUUGAGACAGGAGGGAUAGAAAUACACUUUCAUAUUUUCCCUGUAAGUUCAGAGGGCUUAUUUAUUUUGAAUAAAUAGUGAUUAAUUUCGCUUAAGACUAGUGGUCUUGGGCUUCUUUGUGGUGUUAUUGGUUGUUCCUUAGUCUCUUUGUCCAUUGUGGUUAAUCUGGUCACUGAACUUGAGAGGACCGAGGAGGGAGAGGUGUGCUUUCCAUACCUCAUGUCUUGAAGUGGACUCUGCUGAUGGUGCUACUCAAAGGCCUGCUGGGGACCUAGCCUUGCAUUUUUUUUUCCACUGCAGUUAACAGCAGAGAAGGAAUUACAUUGUUUAGCUUGUCCAGCAAGCGGGAGAAUUUUUUGGCUUUGAAAAUACUGUUCAUUGAAAUCAGUCAUGCCAAACAUUUUACUAACCCCUCUCUGAGAUGUAAGUGACCUGUGAGAAGCCAAUAAAAUGGGAAUAAUGAGUCCCCAUGGCAUUCUGUGUGGACAGUGGAAGUUUAACAUCUCCAUCAGCCACUGGGAGCCUUUACUUCCCACUGGCUUAGCCCACAUUCUCACCAGGUACUCUGGUUAUGACGUUACUUUCCUGACAAUAGAGGAGCUCCCACCUUGUGGCCACACUGAGGGCACCUGAGUGACUAACACCAUAAAGAUGGUGCUACAUGGCGUACAUGGGGAGCCAGGGCUCCCACAUACAGAACCAGGCACCUGAGCACAGGCAGAGCCUGGCUUUUCUCAGCAGUGCAAGGAGUCCAAAAUGCAUUGUCAUGCUACAUUCCUCAACAGGACACCCCACACCAUGGCGCCUGGGCAUGUGUAAGUGUUUGUUGAACACAAGCAUGCUCUGGCUAAAUCCAGACUUAAAGAGAACGGCACAAAGGAUAAGGGCCCAGAGCUUGGGCCAGUUCACUCAGCAGCUGGCAAUGGCUGAAGCCACACCCUGAGCAAGAACCACGGUGAGAGCGAGGACUGUUUGACAGAACGUGAUGUUAAAAGUGUGUGGUGGUUCUCUGAGGAAAGUCGGCAUCCUUCGGCAAGGGGGACACGCAGGUACCUGGGAAGUGGUUAGCCCUCCAGACUCCAGGUGGGUUCCAGGGACAGGUGAACCCCAGGGUGUCUUGUACUUUUGACCAUGCCCUCAGAAUGCUGCCUGUUCAUUGUGGAUCCUUGGCGUGACGGGUAGGAGAACGUGUGCUGAUCUACGAGAGGCUGUUGGAGAAUUCAGCCCAUCGCCUGGUGAAAGAAUGGCGUCUAGAGAUAAGCCUGUGAUCAUACAGCAAAGAAGGCACCCAUGACUUGCUAGGAAUCACAAUGGAACUGCAGCUUUAUUUUAACAGGCGUUUGGGUUUUAUGAUAGACCUAAAAAAUAUCAUUGCACAUGCUCACGUGCACAGGGACACAGUCUCUGCUUUAAUGGGAGACCCAAAAGCAGACUUGGGCUGUUGUUGGAAAAAAGUAGCAUGGCACCAGAGGGUUUGCAUAAUUAACCUGCUCAACUUGUCUGCCUGAACCAGUGGGCAGGAGCAGAGAGUCAAUGGGGUACACACUCACAGGCGUAAACCACAGCACUUGUAAAACAUAAUCAGGUAACAUUAGUGAAGAAUAACAAUUCUAGAAUAUUCAUUUUCACUCCCAGUUCCAACCUCAUCGUCACUUAGGAUUUGAGAGCAAGUAUCUCCAUUUGGAGCCUCACCUUUCCUACCCUGGUAGUGUACCUUAGAGUGAAGGGCCUAAAUUGGGAGGUGGCUCCAUUUAUGUCUAGUGAAAACCAGUAAUCAAGAGUGGGCUGUUUGAACUUUCUCAUUGGCUGUUCUGAGGGUAGCCCUUUCCUAAAGAACGAAAUUAUUCAGAUCCUGUAGGAAUGACUUUUAAAGCACGAUGAUGUUGUAGGAAAAGAACAUUUUAAAACACGCAUUCUGUUUCAACUUAAUGAGAGUUUCUUUCUCUUCGUAGCCUACUGAACUGCUUCUGCCAGAGAGACCCUCCUGUCAUGGUAAGAAACAAGAGCUGCAGGAAGCUGGGGCAGUCUUUUGGCAGGAGGGGGAAGGCUGUACGGCCCUGGCCCUGGAUGCAGGCAGCAGGCUGCCAACCAUUUGCCCCCACGUCCACCUGUGGCCUGCAGCUUACCCAUGCCUUCCUCCAGCUCUGCAGCAUGCGAUCGUGCUCGCCAACCAUGGUCCUCCAGGCAGCGAGCUCUCUGGUCCACUUCUCCUGGUGGGUUGCCUCUGGAAGACAGAAGCGGGCUCACAGUCGCGGACAGGCCUUCGGAGCCCCUUCUGUGUCCACUGGCCAUUCUCUUCCCUCAUUUCAUGUGAAAGUGCCAAGGAGACGAGAGGUAAAGGGCAUGGUCCAAGGUCACGCUGUGAGCUGCAGUGGUGGAGGUGAGGCCCUCUCCGCUAGGGGGAGUCGGGCACAGUGGGGCUCAGGGUACGCGCAAGGCCAGAUGUAUGACCCCUCCGACCAGCAGUUCCAAGGUCAGUCCUCCCACCACCACCCUCCCGUCACCUCCAGGGCACCAGCUCUGAAAGCAGCUGCUCCCCAAGGCCACAGGGUCAGUGCCGGGGCCUUACGCCCACACUGGCACCUGUCAUUCAUGCCCUAGUUAUCUUCAGUUCCUGUGCAGACGAGUAGCUGACUUCCCACAUCCCGGGGAUGUUGACAAGACCCUGGGUCUGGGGUGGGCAGGCUUGCUUCUGGGGACAGGCUGGCCUGCUACAAUGCCACCUCUUCCCUUGAAUAAGACCAGGAGCUCAGGCUCAGAAGUUGGGGCUCGACUGUGAACUGGGCCAGGCAUCUCUGGAAGCCAGCAUGAGCUGUGUUCAGAAAUCACAGCCCCUGGUAUUCCAGUCUCCAGCCUCCUGGGUGUCUCUUGUCUUGGUGUUUGAAAGCAAGUUACUUACAGGGUCUACUGGGUUACAAACCUGAAUAGCCAUCUUUUCUCUGUUCAAACAGAACAUUUGAGGUAAUCAUUCCUUUGGACUACAGGGUCAUAGGAGUUCAUUAAUCUUAGAAGUACGUUCUAAGAACUGAGCCCUUCAGACAUGUGGGACAGAACAAGGUGAUAACCCCACUGGCUGUUGGUGUUGAUGCUAGGUGCCCCACACACCACCUUCCACCCAGCAGCAGCACCCCAGAUUGCCACAGCAGGGGACGCUCUAAGUGAGGAGUGAGGACACAGCUCAUGGCGACCCUACGGAUGUCAGGGUACAGCUAUGCUCCACAGGGUUUGCACUGCAGGACCUCUCUAAUCCUGCCACCACACGGGAGUGGGUGGGUGGGGGACACCAUGUCAACACUCAUCCCCCCACCGCCAGUACCUCCAACAGUCAUCCCCACACACUGCCAGUACCUCCGACAGACAGGAGCGGGGAGGGAGGAUUUCAAGAAAACGGAGAUGUCUUGGUCAUGGUUAUAUCUUUUGAUACCCCAUGCCCCAAACCUUUUGAUGAGGCCAAAUGUGAACGGGCUUCAAACUGCCUGCUGCAGAGUUGCUUUUAUUGUUGUCACUACAAAGCCAUUGGGUGACAGAAAUGCUCGCCUAACUUCUGUGUAAGAUUUCACAGAGUGUAAGGCACAUCUCAUCCUGACAGCAGCCCUGUGGAACAGGCAGGGCAUUUUACGGAAACUGUAAAAACCAAGGCUCUGUGUUGGAGUGAACAUUUACAAUUGCUGUUGCUCUCUCCCAAACCACCACUAAAAUGGUGAUGAGGGGAGCCUUCAAAAAGAAAAACUCGUAAAAGGACAGAGAAUAGAAGAAACAGCAAAAAAUGGAAGUUAGACAAGUGGAAGCUGGGUCCUGAGCUGGCAACAGGGAAAUGGGAGCGACACGCUCCCAGUGAGCUGGGGCAUUGCAGCCAGAGACCGCUCCGGGGGUGGAGAGGCAGGUGCGGAGACAGACUGCCGGAAAGCCUGUGGAGAAGAAGUACUUCUCCCCGUCCAUGUGCUGCCCAGACAGACGGUUACCCCUCUGACUCAGAAGUAAACUGAAGGCUCUUUGGGAGACAGUAGGAAAGGGGUGUAUGGGCUGAGUGCUGCUGAGGGCAGGAGUCCUGGACUGAAAGCAGACCGUUUUGAUGGACAUUUAUAAAGAUGAGGCCCCGCCCCUCUUUCCCCCAUGUAAGUCCUGAAACACUGAUGGCCCAACCCAAACCCUCUAGGACCUACAGCAUCACCAACACCUGGGAGCUCCUUAGGAAUGCUGACUAUCAGGGCACAGCCCAGAUCUGUUGAAUCAGAAUCUGCCUUUUAAUAAGACCCUCGGUGUGGAAACGCUGGGGUGGACCACUUUCUAACUUCAGUGUGCAAAAAUCACCUGGAGAGUUGGUUAAAAACAGGUUCCACCCCCAGAAUGUCUGAUUCAGCAGGUCUGGGGCAGAGCCAGAAUUGGAUUUCUAAUGAGCUUCUUGGUAGUAUGGAUGCUGUCUGUCCUUGGGUAGCAAGGUCUAGGUAUCAGGGACCUUUCAGUGAACUACCCCAGCCAGGAAAGGUCACAGUCAUUCAAGGCUGGGGGCUUGGCCUGCCCACCUGCCCUGCAGCUUCCCUUUCCCACAGAUACAUGGGUCAGGCCGGCAGCCCAGAGCCUAGCACUGCACCGAAGGCCUUUUUAUAGUUCCAGAACUGACUUUAGUGUCAGCUCAAAGAAAUAUCACCACUACAUGGUCAGGAUACUUCAUGAGAACCAGUUUUUUAAAUUAGAUUCUACCUAGAUGCCUUCAACCUGAGAAUGACUAAAUAAGAUGUGGUAUCAUGAGUACAUUCAGCAGUUAAAUGGAAGGAAGUAGACCUUUGUAUCUGUGGCUAGAGUUCAAAAAUAAUGAGCAGGCAGAACAAUUACAGAGUGACAGGAUUAAAACCAUCCUGCACAAACAGCACUGCCAUUGCCCCUGGGAGGGUAUCUGUGGAGUGUGUGUGCGUGUGUGCGUGCACAUCGUGGGUGUUAGGGAGCUGGGAGGGCCACAGACCUGCCUUUGAAGGGGUGAGAUGGUCAAGACUCAUGGUGCUGGCCAAAGAUGGCUUUCAAUUUGUCACAUUCUGAUUUUUUUUUUUUAAAGGAAGGUAAUUUCCAUUUUAACUAAGUUCUUUUUAUUCUGGAGUUUCCCACAGGACUACUCCCUUCUUCAACCAGUGUGGCACCUGUUCAUAUCUAUGGUAGUAGGAAAAUUCAAUAGGAAGUUUGGAAGUAAAAGUUGAGAAAAGCUAAUAGCAAAAAGAAGAAAAAGUGCAAAGAUAGGAAAGAAAAGAUAGGAAAUCAGAGGACCACCCCAGGUAGUCUAACAUCUGGAAAAAUCAUUUCUAGAGAAAGAGAACAGAAAUGGAGUGAAGGAUAUCACUUUCCAGAAUUGAAGAAAACGUUCCAGAAUUGAAGGGUAAGGGUUUCCACACUUACGGGGCCCAAACGAGGCAUGAAAACACCAGGGCAUCAUGAAAUUUCACACUGCUUGAAAAUCAGGAGAUCAUGCAAUUUCCCACGGGGUGAAAUACUGGAGAAUAAUGACUUUCAGUUUAGAAUUACAUAUCCGCUCGAGCUAUCAUUUAAGUAUAAAAACAAACGAAACAUGGGGCCUCAAAACAUUUACUUCCCACUACCAAACUUUCAGAGGAGAGUUAACACCACUACUACUAAAGGUAUUUCAGAGCAAAGGAAAGGAUGGAAUACUCCUAAACUCAUUCUAUAAAGCCAGCAUAUCCCUGAUACCAAAACCAGGUAAAAAAGACACCACAAAAAAAGACUAAAGGCCUAUAUCCCUCAUGAACUUAGAUGCAAAAAUCGUCAAUAAAAUUCUAGCCAAUAGAAUUCAACAACAUAUCAAAAAAUACUUCACCAUGAAAAGGGGAUUCAUACCAGGUAUGCAGGGAUGGUUCACCAUUAGAAAAAAUUAAUGUAAUCCAUCAUUAUAAAUAAAAGAAUCACAUUUUAUUAAUUGAUGCAGAAAAGGCAUUUGACAAAGUUUAAUACCCAUUCAUGACAAAAACUCUCAGCAAAAUAGGAAUAGAAGGAAAAUUCCUCAACAUAAUAAAGGGCAUUUAUACAAAGCCAAUAGCCAACAUCAUACUAAAUGGAGAGAGCCUGAAAGCAUUCCCCUUGAGAUUGGGAACCAGACAAGGAUGCCCUUUAUCACCACUUCAUUCAACAUUGUGCUAGAGGUCCUAGCCAGAGCAGUUAGGCUAGAUAAAGGAAUAAGGAGCAUCCAGAUUGGCAAGGAAGGAGUAAAAGUGUAUUUGCAGAUGACAUGAUCUUAUACACAGAAAACCCUAAGGAAUCCUGAAGAAAACUACUGAAACCAAUAGAAGAGUUCAGCAGAGUAUCAGGAUACAAGAUAAACAUACAAAACUCAGUUGGAUUCCUCUACACCAACAAAAAGAACAUCGAAGAGGAAAUCACCAAAUCAAUACCAUUUAAGUAGCCCCUAAGAUGACAAAAUACUUACAAAUAGAUCUUACCGGAGAUGUAAAAGACUUAUACAAAGAAAACUACAAAACACCUCUUGAAAAACAUACCUUGCUCAUGGAUAGGAAGACUUAACAUUGUAAAAAUGUCUAUUCUACCAAAAGUGAUCUAUAGAUUUAAUGCAAUUCUGAUCCAAAUUCCAGUGACAUUUCUUAAUGAGAUGGAGAAACAAAUCACCAACUUCGUAUGGAAGGGAAAGAGGUCCCAGAUAAGUAAAGCAUUACUGAAAAAGAACAAAAUGGAAGGCCUCCCUCUACCUGAUUUUAGAACAUACAAUACGACCACAGUAGUCAAAACAGCCUGGUAUUGGCACAACAACAGAUAGACCAAUGGAACAGAAUUGAGAAUCCAGACAUAAAUCCAUCCACAUAUGAGCAGUUGGUAUUUGACAAAGGCCCCAAAGCAGUUAAAUGGGGAAGAGACGUUCUUUUUAACAAGUGGUGCUGGCAUACCUGGAUAUCCAUCUGCAAAAAAAAUGAAACGACCCAUACCUCAUACCAUGCACAAAAACUAACUCAAAAUGGAUCAAAGACCUAAAUAUAACAUUUUAAAUGAUAAAAAUCAUGGGAAAAAAAUAGGGACAAUGUUAGGAGCCCUAAUACAUGGCAUAAACCAUAUACAAAACAUUAACAAUGCAGAAGAAAAACUAGAUAACUGGCAGCUCCUAAAAAUCAAACACCUAUGCUCAUUCAAAGACCACCAAAAGAGUAAAAAAGAUUACCUAGACUGGGUGAAAGUUUUUAGCUAUGAUAAUCCCGAUCAGUGCCUGAUCUCUAAAAGCUAGAUGAUACUGCAAAAACUCAACUGCAAAAAGACAACCCAAUUAAAAGAUGGGCAAAAGAUAUGAACAGACACUUCACUAAAGAAGACAUUCAGGUAGCUAACAGAUCCAUGAGGAAAUGCUCACCAUCAAUAGCCAUCAGGGAAAUGCAAAUCAAAACUACAAUGAGAUUUCAUCUCACUCCAGCAAGGCUGGUAUUAAUCCAAAUAACACAAAGUAAUAAAUGUUGGAGAGGCUGUGGAAGAUUGGGACACUUAACACACUGCUGGUGGGAAUGUAAAAUGGUACAACCACUUUGGAAAUCGAUUUGGUGCUUCCUUAAAAAAGCUAGAAAUAGAACUACCAUAUGAUCCAACAAUCCCACUCCUGGGAAUAUAUCCUUGAAAAAUAAGAGCCUUUACAGGAACAGAUAUGUGCACACCCAUGUUCAUUGCAGCACUGCUUACAAUAGCAAAAAGAUGGAAGCUUCGAAGGCCAGUGUAGGAGGGGCGGGGGCUUGGGGACCAUGUUUUCAGGGGACAUCUAAGUCAAUUGGUGUAAUAAAAUCUAUUAAAACAUUCUGCAUCCCACUUUGGAGAGAGGUGUCUGGGGUCUUAAACGUUAGCAAGCAGCCAUCUAAGAUGAAUCAACUGGUCUCAACCCACCUAGAGCAAAGGAGAAUGAAUAACACCAAGGACACAAGGUAAUUAUGAGCCCAAGAGACAGAAAGGGCCACAUAAACCGGAGACGACAUCAGCCUGAGACCAGAAGAACUAGAUGGUGCCUGGCUACAAGCGAUGACUGUCCUGACAGGGAACACAACAGAGAACCCCUGAGGGAGCGGGAGAGCAGUGGGAUGCAGACGCCAAAUUCUCGUAAAGGACUAGACUUAAUGGUCUGACUGAGACUAGAAGGACCUCCAGUGUUCAUAGCCCCCAGACCUUCUGUUAGGCCAGGACAGGAACCAUUCCCAAAGCCAACUUUUCAGACAGGGAUUGUACUGGACAAUGGGAUAGAAAAAGAUGCUGGGGAAAAAUGAGCUUCUUGGAUCAAGUAGACACUUGAGACUAUGUUGGCAUCUCCUAUCUGGAGGGGAGAUGAGAGGGUAGAGGGGGUUAGAGGCUGGCGGAAUGGACAUGAAGAGAGUGGAGGGAAGAAGCGGGCUGCCUCAUUAGGGGGAGAGCAAUUAGGAGUAUAUAGCAAGGUGUAUAUAAAUUUUUGUAUGAGAUACUGACUUGAUUUGUAAACUUUAACUUAAAGCACCAAAAAAAAAAAAAAAAAAAAAUGGAGUAAAUCAAGGAAGGAACACCCGGGAGCCAGGAAACACCAUCCAACAGGAGAGAAACAGAAUCUCCACCCUCAAGGUUAAGGGCAGUCCCAGGGUGGCAAGUUGGUACAGGGUGCGAACUGUCCAAUUAGAGGUGACCAGAGGUUCCGGGGGGAGGUAACAACAGGACACCAAUAUGUCUGCAUUUAUGCAAAGACUUAGGCACCUGCAGAGUGUGGUGGUAGAUAAAUGGUAACUGAGAAAUAAGCCAAUGAAAAUCGGCACAAUUUUAACCACAUGGAAAACCGUAAGUGCAGGGAAGGAAAUCCUAAUAGACCUACUUGGCUCAGCUAUCCUAGUAAUGUAAACACUGAAUAAUAGUCUAACCCAAAUUUGUACAUGAGAAAAAUAGGAGACUGGUAGCAUGUGUGUGUGUGUGUUGGUGUCAUGGAUUGAAUUUUGUCCCCCAAAAAUAUGUGUAUCAACUUGGCUAGGCUAUGAUUCCCAGUAUUGAUUGUCCACCAUUCUGUCAUCUGAUGUGAUUUUCCUAUGUGUUGGUAAUCCUAUCUCUAUGACGUUAAUGAGGUGGGAUAGGUGGCGAUUAUGUUAAUAAUGCAGGACUCAAUCUACAGGAUUGGAUUUUGUCUUGAGCCAAUCUCGUAAGAUAUAAAAGAGAAGCAAGCAGAGAGACGGGGGACCUCAUACAACCAAGAAAGCAGUGCCGGGAGCAGAGCACAGCCUUUGGACCCGGGGUCCCUGUGCGGGAGAACUCCUAGAUCAGGGGAAGAUUGACGACGAGGACCUUCCUCCAGAGCCGAUAGAGAGCGAAAGCCUCCCUUGGAGUCGAUACCUUGAAUUUGGACUUGCAGCAUACUAGACUGUGGGAGAAUUAAUCUCUGUCUGUUAAAGCCGCCCACUGUGGCAUCUCCGUUGUAGGAGCACUAUAUGACCAAGACAGUGAAAGAGCUAAAUCCUCGUCUUUCUUAGUAGAAGGCUAAUAACACGUUGCAAGUGGGGAGCAGGGCCAGGCACCCACUUACCGUGUCUCAUCACAGUGACCCGCACUUUUGAGGUCCUGUUUCCUGCUGAGGACAGAACCCAACAGCGGUACUCAGAGCUCUCUCGGAUGGAGUCUUGCAGCCAGCUGAGCACGUGGGCCCUGCCAUCGGACAGCGUGUGGGUCUGCACAGGAACACAGGUCUCCAGCUCUUGCCCAUUCUUCUCCCAGACAAAGCGAACAUCUGAAGGACCUGGAGACACACAAACCGUUUCCCUGCUGUGUCCCCUGAGCAUCCAUGCAGGUGCCUCAUGAACUGUCCCUGGCAUGGGGAGUGAGGAUCCUCUCUCUUGUCCCAGCUAGACCUGAACUUAACUGAGGGCAGGUCUCAACUCAGCUGCCUGGUACUUCCCAUGGGCCUGGGGCCCAGGGGUGGUUCCCAGGCUGUGGCUCCUGGAGGGCAGCGAGAGGAUGACAGUCAAGUGCCCAGCACCUUGACUCCACCAUGGGCUUCGUGGUGCCAUAGACCCUGCCUUUCUUCAGAAAACAUGAGCCAGGCCCAUGUCUUGCAGAACAUAUUUGGGCCAGCAGUUCCCAGGGCCUCCCCACCUUGGUGGAGGCCUUGGUGACUGUUCUGGGGGACCAGGGUAUUCCACGCUGUCCCACCUGGCCUGAUGUUGCCUCCUUCCGCCCCAAAGGCCCUCUCCUCCCCAGGGCCAUUCUGCUCUCCAUGGCCCAGAGGCGGCACCGUCAGAGGGGGUAGCACAGGGCCCUGGCCAGGCAUGGAGAGCCUCCCCCAAGCCAAAGGUAGAGGCAGGUGUGGGGCAGAAUGGGCAUCACCCAGGGGUCUCCCAAUGUGUCCGGAGAGGGUGCCAGGGUGCUGAGAAGCACCUGCGAGGUCCUGCCUACCCCACAGUUCAUCAAAAUGAGUCACUCCAACCUAGGGAAGUGCUGGAGGGAGUGGUCAACGUGCACUGGGAACUGGAAGACGAUAGGGAACCUGCACCAAUACUACAGGCUGGGCCCACUCCCCACAGAAGCCCCUGCCCCCAGGGAGGCCCGCCCACCGACAGGUUCACAGCCAGGCUCCUGCAGGGCCAGGACUGACGUGUCCUGGGGCCCUGCCUCUGCCACUGGUGACAGAGCUCCUGGCCUAGGAUGGGAGCCGCACCACGGCACCACGGCUGCUGCUCUUUAAGCACUGCCUAGUCCCCUGUUUUCUUUCGGGGCUUUUUAUUUUAAUUACAAAAAAGACAGGGAGGCCAACUAUUCUAAGUGCCUCUCAGACUCCAGGAUGGUGAGGGCCCUUCCAGGAGGGUGCAGCCCGGCAGGCUCUGGUUUGUCUGAUGGGCAGAGUGGGGUGGGGGUGUUUCCCAGGUCUCCUCCCUGGGGGGUGGGGCCAGGAGCAGGCUAGCAUCCAGGCAUUUCCUCGCCCAGGCAGCAGACGGGCCUGUGGAAGGCAGUUUCCCACACGCCACGCUGGCCAGCUGUGCAGGGGGGGAACGGGCUGCCCCUCCAGAAACCCCACCCUAAGCACAGCAGGGUCCCAUGCAGGGCCGCCAAGGGACGUUUUAUUAAUUCCAGUGCAGUGGGGGGAAGCUUGGUCCGAGAGCUCCCACUGGUACCCAGCAGCGACGCAGCUCUCCGCCUCCCUGCCUGGGCCACUUUCUCAUCUGGGAAGUGGGGGCUGGGCAGUGGGUGAUUCACAGACUUAACGCUGGGCCCGGAGAGCAGCCAGCUGGGCCGAGACAGACUCAACUCCUUGCCCCUAUAAAAUACCAGAACGGACAACUCCACCUCAAUCUGCUUUCCACUCAGGGCCUCCCAAUAGACUUGGAUUGAAGAGAGGUCUGAGAAGGGUGUGAAAGAGCCAAGCUGACACUCGCUGAGCUCCUGUGAGUCUAGUCCUGUCCAGGGUGUGCAGACCCUGGGCUGAGCUGGAAGCUGGACAGGGCCAGGUGGGCCCCAGACAGCCCAGCAGCCAGCCCAAGCAACCAGACCUGCUCUCAAGUGGCCUGUAGGCACGGCCUCCUUCCUCACAUCCCGAGCUCUGAUCCUGGCCCCACCCUGGGCCAAGGGGAAUAGGUCCCUUCUGUUUUGUCCCUGCUGCUCCCAGUCUGGGUAGCGCUGUGGGGCCAGCUAAACGUGUCAUCCAAGGCUGGGGGCUUGUCACGCCCACAUGCCCUGCAGCUUCCCUUUCUCACAGACACACAGGUCAGGCCGACAGCCCAGGGCCUAGCACUGCACGGAAGGCCUUUUUAUACUUCUAGAAUUGACUUUAGUGUCAGCUCAAAGAAACAUCCCCCAUAUCCCCACUAUAUGGUCAGCAUACCUCAUGAGAACCAGUUUUUUAAAUUAGAUUCUACCUAGAUGCCUUCAACCUGAGAAUGAUUAAAUAAGUGGUAUCGUGAGUAUCAAAUUGACUCAACGGCAACGGUUUUUUUUUUUUUUUUUAAUCAGGAGUACAGUACAUUCAGUACUUAAAAGGAAGGACCUAGAUCUUUGUAUCUGUGGCUAGAGUUCAAAAAUAAUGAGCAGGCAGAACAAUUACAGAGUGACAGGAUUAAAACCAUCCUGCAUAAACAGUGCUGCCAUUGCCCCUGGGAGGGUUCUGUGUGGAGUGCGUGCAUGAGCCAUGAGCGUUGGGGAGCUGGGAAGUUCCCACAGCUGCCUUUGGAGGGGUGAGGUGAUCAAGACUCAUGGUGCUGACCAAAGAUGGCUUUCAAUUUCUCUGUCACAAUUUUUUUUUUUUUAAGGAAGGUAUUUUCCAUUUUAACUAAAGUUCUUUUUAUUCUGGAGUUUCCCAUAGGACUACUGCCGUCUUCACCAAAUGCGGCAGCUGUUCACCUCUCUCCACCUCCUUGAUCAAUAACUCACACAGUUCUGGAUCAUCACGAACUCCCAUCCCAAGGGCCUAAGUUCAGAUCCUUUAAUUGGACAAUCCUAGGAACGAAUCUUGAGGAAAGGAUAGGACCAUACCGAAGAGGUCACUGGAGCCCUGCUCGUAUCAGUGAGAAGGUGGGAAAUGCCCAACCAGGGGCAUAUAAAUGACAUGAUGGCCAGCGAGGUUCUCAUAAAACGGGUUUCCUUCAAGGACACUCAGUAACAUGGCAAAGUGCAACAACAUUGUGUUAAAUGAAAAAACGUGAACAUGCAUGUGUGCAUACAUGUAUGUACAUACAGGUGUGUGUAUACAUACGUGUGUACACACCUACACGCAGGCUCAUAUGUAUACACAGAGAAAAGGCCUGAAGACAGCCAUUGUGCAGGUGGUGGCUGUGUCCAAACAGUUAAAUUUAGGGUUGCUGAGAUUUUUUCUUUGUAUUUUCCAAUUUCACUAGAACAAACAACUAUGCUUUAUAAUCAAAAAAAUAAAGUGCUCUUUUGAAGGAAAAAAAAGUACAUGCCAUAGAUGCUCAAGGGUACUCUGAAAAGUGUGUCCAAAGGUGUUUUGCACAACAGCCUUGUUCUUCCAGCCCCUAAGGGCUGCUUUGAAGGUCCCGCCUUGUGGACAAGCCCUGGUGGGCUUGUUUGGCUAUUUUCUGUGCAGGCUUUUUUUUUUUUUAACCCUGUCAUUCUAUAACUUGUUUUUCCCACUCAGUGUUUAGAACUCAGUGGACAACUGUAUAUUAUGCAUUUUUCCUGCCUUUUAACUACUGAAAAUAUCUAUGGUAUCACAUCUUCUCUAGUCAUUUCCCAACUGAUGGGCAACUAAAACCAAAAACCAAAUCCAUUGUUGUCGAGUUGAUUCCAACUCAUGGCGACCCUACAGACAGAGCAGAACUGCCCCAUAGGGUUUCCAAGGAGCUGCUGGUGGAUGUGAACUGCUGACCUUUUGGUCAGCAGCCUAAUGCACCACCAGGGCUCCAAUGGGCAUCCAGGCAGACUCUGAUUUUAAAUACUGACUCUCGUGAGCUAUCCUGAUCAAGUAAUGAGAGAUAUUUCUUUGGAUAGACAUGAGACUCAGUUCUAAAAAAGCAUAAUCUCCUCCCUCCUCUCAUAUCCCUGUCUGACAGGUGACAUGCCCUGGGAUCCAGCUGGAGGACUGGGGCCACAGAGAUGGAUCACCAGGGAUUCUGGAAGGUUCUCGCACCUGAGCCCCUGGGACAAAGGAUCUGAGUGGCCUGAGCUGAACCACACGGGCAAGAAACCUCAGCAGCAAACCUCCCAGAAACCCUGCAGCUCCUGGGGCAUUACACACCAGGUACGGAAAGCAGGUGGCACACACACCUCCUGGCACAAGGACACUGGUAAGCAUCAGCAUUUUUAGACAUGCACUUGAUCAUAGGAAGGUAUUAAAAAUGUUACUUACGUGCCAUUAUCCUUUUUAAAACUAUCCACCUCAUUCUGAAUGCACAGGAGAUUGAAGAGAGAGGGAGAGAGUUAAACCAGGCAUCUGAGCAGGGGGCACUGGGCUGUCAGCUGGCACCUGGCCCACAGACGUGGCUCCAGAAAGGUCCAAAUGCUGACCCAUGAACCUCCUUCCACCCGUCUCCCGGCCAGGGCCUCUGGAAGCACCCCACUUGUCUCAGGCCCCACCUUGACACCUCAAGGAAAAGACCUGGCUGGGGUGUUCACUGCCUGCAGGGGCCCCCCGGCUGUGGAAUGGGUGGGGGCGGGCACAGCUGUGGCCCAUCAGCAGCACCUCUGGCUUCAGAGGAGAGACUGCCUCCUCAGGCUGGGGAGGGAUGGGGGCCCAGAGGAGGGACACACACCCCUAACCUGCCUGAUCUCCGCACCCAUGACCGUGACAAGGGCAUGCUUACCCACCGUGGUGCAAACUCCUGCCCAUCAGCCUUGGGAGGCACCCUGAUGAGUGGUCCUGGUAUCUACCCCACAACCGGCAGGGUGUGGGGACUGUUCGAGGCUCCACCCUGCCCCUCACCCCUCGCACAGCAUCUAAGAUGGCCCCCCGGUCAGGGUUCUGUGGCCAAGCUAUGUGAGGAGCUUUGGGAAAGUGACCUAAGAAAGCAUGGUGGGGACCCCUCCCAACUGACUCCCAUCUCCCCCAGAGGGGACUAGACCACCCCGGGAGAGGGGACAGCUGAUGGGAUUGACCCGGACUGCCAGAACUUCUUUGGUAACAUCCCUGCCCAGUAUCCACGUGGCUGCUAAGCAGUACAUGCACCUCCAUGUGGGACCCUGGCAUGCAGCCCACAGGGACUAGUCCAUCUUCCACACACACCCACAGGCUGGGCCUCCUGCUGCCAUUGAGCUGAUCCCACCACUGUGCCUGGAGCACCCCCAAGAAGAUGGUUCUCUGAGGACGCUGGGGCUCUGUGCACCAAGGACACCAGCUGCCCAUGGGGCUGGGGCUCUCCCAGCUCCUCCCUCCUGGGGCCAGGGGUCCUUCCUGUACACACGGCCCAAGCCUCAGCCCUGAAGGAUCCCUCUGCCUACCUGGCCCUGUCUCCAUUCUGUGGAAGCCUCUAAGCCAGGGCCAAGCUCAGCACCCACCCUGGUUAAGGCCCAAGAGGAGUCACAUGGCAAGGACCCCUCACCUCACAGGAAAGGGCUAGGCCGUUUGUCAAUGCAACAAGUAUGGCAUCUUGGGGACUGAAGGACAGAGACUCCCAGGCCAACCCUCGAACAAGUGUGAAUGCCUUUCUCAAUGGGCUCUGCUCUCCUUUGGAGAAAAAGACAAAGGGCACAGAAGCGUAACCCAGUCAGAGGAGAUGAGAAUAGCAGCUCCAACUUCCUGUCUGGCUUUCCCCCAAGGCCUGCGUGAGAGUCCACAGGCUGGGUGGGCACUCAGUGGGAGCAGAUGGCUGGUCUUACACAGUCCCGGUCCCUCGGACACUGGAAGGCCACAAGCACACCCAAAGGCAAGAGGUAGCAGCUUGGCGGGAGCAGAUGGGCUUGGGUCCAUGGCUGGGUCUCCAGAGGCCCUGACUUCCUAACGCUCCUCCCCAGCGUGCUCCAUGUCAGCACUGAGCUCAGUGGUGGCCCCAGAACAUCCAGGUCCUAGUCCCUGGAACCUGAAAGUGGACCUUACGUGCAGAUGAGAUAAAGCUAAGGAUCUUGAGAUGGUCCUGGACUGCUGGUGGCCCCUAAAUGUAAUCAGAGACGUCCUUACCAGAGAGGUGACACACACAGAGGAGCAGGCAGUGUGACCACAGAGGAGAAGCUGCAUGAUGUGGCCAUGAGCCCUGGUACACCGAGGACUGGCAACAGCCACUAGAAGCUGGGAGAGACAACAGCAAGGUUCUCCCCUGGAGCCUCUGGGAAACACAGUCCUGCUGGAACCUUGACUCUUCCGGCCUCUAAAAACUGUGAGAAUAAAUUUCUGCUUUUUCAUGCCACCCAGUUUGUGUGACUUGUACGGCAGCCACAGGGCCUUCUCACCACAGAUCCCAAGGCCCACCCUGGAAUAUCAUCCCCUGGAGGGAACAGCGCCUCCAUAGGCAACUGCGCAGGGUUGGGGUGUAAAGCCAUCUUGCAUCUUCAAGAGAGGAUGUGUGGAGACGCCAGCCCUCAGAAACACCUCUCUGAGGGACCUGCCCAUGACAGCCUAUUCUGGCUCUCCGGGGUGAGCCCACCCACCCUGGCAGGGCCUGGAGGUGCUGGGGCAGGCCAGGCACUGGAAACUGCCUCCCUGGCACCCUGGGCACUUGGUGAGCCGACUGCUGCGGGGUGCUUGGCAGUGCACAUCUGGGCACCCUCUCUGCUCAGUCCAGAAGAGGGUUUCAACGUGAAGAGGGCAUGCAGCUAAAGCAGGUGAGAAAGUCCACCGCAUACAGCACACUGCCCACAAACCUAAACCAGGAACACUGAAGUAGCCCCACUCCAGCGUCAGGCAAUGUGCUCUGGGGCCCAGCGGGCUGCCUGUGCCCCACACAAGAAUGUGGCAGACGCUCCCAGGCCCAGGUACUGGUCGCUCAGCUGACUUCAUGCCUCUGCAGCAGGCACCAUCGCUUUCAGCCAAUUCCUGAAGGACCAGCCUACCGCUCACAAUGCCCACUGUGGACAGGGUGGCCCGACCUCACACAUCGGCCCUGCCACCUUCUUGCAGUCCUGGGACCUAGGAUGCUCCCCUAGGUAAGCCACACACUACCGUGAAAUCUUUCCCAGAGGUGAUGGGGAGUUUUCAGGGUAGGGAAAAAAUAUAAAUGGGCAGAAAUGCCACUAGAUGCCACAGUGAUGCCAGGUGGAUGCAAGGCCACAGGUUUGAAUUUCCAUAUUCAGUUAAAGGCCCUGCUGAAGAGAGUAAUUCCAGCAUGCUCCUCUCCUGACAGGCGGCCCUCAGUGCAGGCAGCCUUACCAGCAAUUCUGGAACCUUCUUCCUUCAUUGGACUCCUGAUCCCCGAAGCUCAGGGGGAUGUGAAAAAUAACUCCUGUCAAAUUGCUUAAUAACGUCUAGACACUGCCCCAGCAGGAGAGUCAGCGACCUCACAGCCUCCCUCCUGAAGGGCAGGGCAGACACCUCCAUGCUGGGACGGUUCUCGGUAAGGACGAGACUCCACAUGACUGACAAAGAUUUUUACCCUCAUUUUUGUUCACAAAUGAAACGACAACUGGAUUAUCAAUGUGCUUGAAUGUCCACAUUCAGAAAAUAAAAACACUGGGGGUCAGCAUUCUCCUUUGAAAGGGUUCACCUGGGUUAAGCUUUAAGUGGCUAAUGCCUCCCCCACAGCCACCCUAGAGGCUGAACAUAAAAUGGGAUUACAUUUGCCUCCACUUUUCCAGAAUGCAUCUGCUCGGUACACUAAAUCCACUGUCACGUAAUUUCCUAUUCCCUCUUAUUGGAGUUUACCCCCACCUGUCAGUUUGUUGUACUGCAGUGGCUUGCACACUGCUGUGAUGCUGGAAGCUAUGCCACUGCAUAGGGGGAAGGAAAGAUCCUGCUUUUGUUACAAAAGUUACGUAGACACAUUUCUGUAUGUGUAGACACAUAUACACACGCAUAUACACAUCCAUAAUUUGUAAUACACAUAUUUGUAUAUACAUGUACAUAUGGAAAAACAUAUAAUAUCUAUCUGGAGAAAAGACUGGAGCUGUCACGGAUUUCAUUUUACUUGCAUCCACAAUCAAUAACCAUGGAAGCAGCUGUCAAGAAAUCAAAAGAUGCAUUGCAUUGGGUAAAUUUGCUGCAAAGGACCUCUUUACAGUGUUGAAAAGCAAAGAUGUCACCUUGAAGACUAAGGUGCGCCUGACCCAAGCCAUGGUAUUUUCAAUUGAAUCACAUGCAUGUGAAAGCUGUACGGUGAAUAAGGAAGGCCGAAGAAGAACUGACACCUUUGAACUGCAGUGUUGGUCAAGAAUACUGACUAUACCAUGGACUACAAAAAGAACGAACAAAUCUGUCUUGGAAGAAGUGCAGCCAGAAUGCUCCUCAGAGGCAAGGAUGGCGAGACUGGGUCUUACAUACUUGGGACAUGUUGUCAGGAGGGAUCAGUCCCUGGAGAAGGACAUCAUGCUUGGCAGAGUACAGGGUCAGUGGAAAAGAGGAAGACCCUCAACGGGGUGGAUUGACAAGGUGGCUGCAACAAUGAGCUCAAGCAUAACAACGAUUGUAAGGAUGGCGCAGGACUGGGCAGUGUUUCGUUUUGUUGUGCACAGGGUCGCUAUGAGUCGGAACUGACUCGACGGCACCUAAUAACAACAACAAUGUCUGCAUUCAUAUUUAUAUGUGACAAAAUAAAGCUAAAUGUGGUUAUGU